rnacentral:tRNA from 1 species
GCUGCGGUGUCCGAGUGGUUAAGGAGAUGGACCUGAAAUUCAUUGGGCUCUGCCCGCGCAGGUUCGAAUCCUGUCCGCAGCG